GGUGGCGUCUGCCUGCAGGACCCAGCUGGUUAGGUGCGAAUGAAGUGUGGCCGCGCAGGAAGAAGAACAAGUCAGCACGACCUUUCACCCCCGUCCAUCACUCUCUGACCUCCCCUCUGCUGAGUGAAGCACCAAGGGAGGUCAUCUACCGCCAGCUAUGCUGUCUGAGUUGGCUGCUGGAGGCCUUGACUCUGGAUCGCUCUAGCAGAGUCGGCCCGCUCUCCGCCUGCUGGGACCCCAAAGACCCUGGCCGAGGCAGGACCACGAUAAAGACGCUGAAGAAAGAGAGAGCCAUUGAGAGCAAAUGGGAGCAGUUUGUUUCAGCCAAG